GUAGGUGGCAAGCGUUGUCCGGAAUUAUUGGGCGUAAAGCGCGCGCAGGCGGUCCUUUAAGUCUGAUGUGAAAGCCCACGGGCUCAACCGUGGAGGGUCAUUGGAAACUGAGGGACUUGAGUACAGAAGAGGAAAGCGGAAUUCCACGUGUAGCGGUGAAAUGCGUAGAGAUGUGGAGGAACACCAGUGGCGAAGGCGGCUUUCUGGUCUGUAACUGACGCUGAGGCGCGAAAGCGUGGGGAGCAAACAGGAUUAGAUACCCUGGUAGUCCACGCCGUAAACGAUGAGUGCUAAGUGUUAGGGGGUUUCCGCCCCUUAGUGCUGCAGCUAACGCAUUAAGCACUCCGCCUGGGGAGUACGACCGCAAGGUUG
rnacentral:rRNA from 1 species